AUUGAACGCUGGCGGCAGGCUUAACACAUGCAAGUCGAGCGGAGAUGAGGUGCUUGCACCUUAUCUUAGCGGCGGACGGGUGAGUAAUGCUUAGGAAUCUGCCAUUUAGUGGGGGACAACAUUCCGAAAGGAAUGCUAAUACCGCAUACGUCCUACGGGAGAAAGCAGGGGAUCUUCGGACCUUGCGCUAAAUGAUGAGCCUAAGUCGGAUUAGCUAGUUGGUGGGGUAAAGGCCUACCAAGACGACGAUCUGUAGCGGGUCUGAGAGGGUGAUCCGCCACACAGGGACUGAGACACGGCCCAGACUCCUACGGGAGGCAGCAGUGGGGAAUAUUGGACAAUGGGCGGAAGCCUGAUCCAGCCAUGCCGCGUGUGUGAAGAAGGCCUUUUGGUUGUAAAGCACUUUAAGCGAGGAGGAGGCUACUAGUACUAAUACUACUGGAUAGUGGACGUUACUCGCAGAAUAAGCACCGGCUAACUCUGUGCCAGCCGCCGCAGUAACAC
rnacentral:rRNA from 1 species